rnacentral:RNase_P_RNA from 2 species
UGAGCUCGCUGGGCAGUCGCUGUUCCCUUGGGAAUGGAGGAAAGUCCGGGCUCCACAGGGCAGAGUGCCAGGUAACGCCUGGGCGGCGCGAGCCGACGGAAAGUGCAGCAGAAAGUAGACCGCCUAAGCUAUGGCUCCUGUAGCCAUAGCCGGUAAGGGUGAAACGGUGCGGUAAGAGCGCACCGCGUGACUGGCAACAGUUCACGGCGAUGGUAAACCCCACUCGGAGCAAGACCAAAUAGGGGUCCUAUGGUGCGGCCCGCACUGGACCCGGGUAGGUUGCUUGAGGUUCGCGGUGACGCGGAUCCCAGAUGAAUGACUGCUUUAGACAGAACCCGGCUUAUAGGCGAGCUCAAUCU